rfam:Dipodomys ordii contig_89955, whole genome shotgun sequence.
GGGGAUGUGGCUUAGUGGUAGAGUGCUUGCCUAACAUGCAUGGAGCUCUAGGUUCGAUUCCUCAGCACCA